rnacentral:rRNA from 1 species
GUCCACGCCCUAAACGAUGUCAACUAGGUGUCGGGAGCGCAAGUUCUUGGUACCGCAGCUAACGCGUGAAGUUGACCGCCUGGGGAGUACGGUCGCAAGAUUAAAACUCAAAGGAAUUGAUGGGGACCCCGCACAAGCGGUGGAUGAUGUGGAUUAAUUCGAUGCAACGCGAACAACCUUACCUACCCUUGACAUGUCCGGAACCCUGCUGAAAGGCGGGGGUGCCCGAAAGGGAAUCGGAACACAGGUGCUGCAUGGCUGUCGU